AGAAUCAACGCUGGCGGCGUGCCUAACACAUGCAAGUCGAACGAGAAAGGGGUAGCAAUACCCUGAGUAAAGUGGCGCACGGGUGAGUAACACGUGACUAACCUACCCUGGAGUGGGGGAUAACUGAGGGAAACCUUAGCUAAUACCGCAUAAUACCCACGGGUCAAAGGAGCAAUUCGCUUCAGGAGGGGGUCGCGGCCGAUUAGUUAGUUGGCGGGGUAAUGGCCCACCAAGACGAUGAUCGGUAUCCGGCCUGAGAGGGCGCACGGACACACUGGAACUGAAACACGGUCCAGACUCCUACGGGAGGCAGCAGUGGGGAAUUUGCGCAAUGGGGGAAACCCUGACGCAGCAACGCCGCGUGGAGGAUGAAGUACUUCGGUACGUAAACUCCUUUCGAUCGGGACGAUAAUGACGGUACCGAGAGAAGAAGCCCCGGCUAACUUCGUGCCAGCAGCCGC
rnacentral:rRNA from 1 species